GGGUGCGAUCAUACCAGCACUAAUGCACUGGAUCCCAUCAGAACUCCAAAAUUAAACGUGCUUGGGCGAGAGUAGUACUAAGAUGGGUGACCUCUUAGGAAGUCCUCGUGUUGCACCCC
rfam:Ricinus communis cultivar Hale ctg_1100012282438, whole genome shotgun sequence.